UCGAGAAGCUUCGGCAAUGGGCGAAAGCCUGACCGAGCGACGCCGCGUGAGCGAAGAAGGCCCUAUGGGUUGUAAAGCUCUGUCAGAUUGGGAAGAAAACCCCGCGGUUAAUACCUGCGGGGCUUGACGGUACCAUCAGAGGAAGCACCGGCUAACCCCGUGCCAGCAGCCGCGGUAAUACGGGGGGUGCGAGCGUUGUUCGGAUUCACUGGGUAUAAAGGGUGCGCAGGCGGACUGGUAAGUCAGAGGUGAAAUUUGUCGGCUCAACCGACAGACUGCCCCUGAAACUGCCAGUCUUGAGUCCGGGAGAGGUAGGUGGAAUUCCAGGUGUAGCGGUGAAAUGCGUAAAUAUCUGGAGGAACACCGGUGGCGAAGGCGGCCUACUGGCCCGGAACUGACGCUCAGGCACGAAAGCUAGGGGAGCGAACGGG
rnacentral:rRNA from 1 species